GUCCCUUCGGGGACAUCCGAUAAAAUUGGAACGAUACAGAGAAGAUUAGCAUGGCCCCUGAAUCGAGAAAUGGUCUAAAUUUUU
rnacentral:snRNA from 2 species